GUCCACACUGUAAACUAUGAUCACUCGCUGUGUGCGAUAUACAGUACGCGGCUAAGCGAAAGCGUUAAGUGAUCCACCUGGGGAGUACGCCGGCAACGGUGAAACUCAAAGGAAUUGACGGGGGCCCCGCACAAGCGGAGGAGCAUGUGGUUUAAUUCGAUGGUACGCGAGGAACCUUACCAGGGCUUGAAAGUUAGUGACCGUCCCGGAAACGGGAUUUUCAGCAAUGACACGAAACUAGGUGCUGCAUGGCUGUCGU
rnacentral:rRNA from 1 species